GGGCUAAUGGCGCAGUGGGUUCGUUUAUGGUCUGGAAUGUCUUUGAGUUACAUGUACUAACAUCUCAAUAGUAGCGCGUCCGCUUUGCAUUGAGAGUCAAUCGUGUGCGGAAGGUCUAGGGUUCGAUCCCCUAUUAGUCCA